CCUACGGGUGGCAGCAGUGAGGAAUAUUGGUCAAUGGGCGCGAGCCUGAACCAGCCACGUAGCGUGAAGGAUGACUGCCCUACGGGUUGUAACCUUCUUUUAUAAAGGAAUAAAGUGAGGCACGUGCGCCUUUUUGUACGUACUUUAUGAAUAAGGAUCGGCUAACUCCGUGCCAGCAGCCGCGGUAAUACGGAGGAUCCGAGCGUUAUCCGGGGUUAUUGGGUGUAAAGGGAGCGUAGAUGGGUUGUUAAGUCAGUUGUGAAUGUUUGGGGCUCAACCGGAAAAUUGCAAUUGAUACUGGCAGUCUUGAGUGCAGUUGAGGCAGGCGGAAUUCGUGGUGUAGCGGUGAAAUGCUUAGAUAUAACGAAGAACUCCGAUUGCGAAGGCAGCUUACUAAACAGCCACUGACAUUGAUGCGCGAAAGUGUGGGUAUCAAACAGGAUUAGAUACCCGAGUAGUC
rnacentral:rRNA from 1 species